CCUACGGGAGGCAGCAGUGAGGAAUAUUGGACAAUGGACGAGAGUCUGAACCAGCCACGUAGCGUGAAGGAUGACUGCCCUCGGGGUUGUAAACUUCUUUUAUAAAGGAAUAAAACGAGGCACGUGUGCAUUUUUGCAUGUACUUUAUCAAUCAGGAUCGGCUAACUACGUGUCAGCAGCCGCGGUAAUACGGAGGAACCGAGCGUUAUCCGGAUUUAUUGGGUGUAAAGGGAGCGUAGAUGGGUUGUUAAGUCAGUUGUGAAAGUUUGCGGCUUAACCGUAAAAUUGCAAUUGAGACUGGCAGUCUUGAGUACAGGAGAGGUAAGUGGAAUUCGUGGUGUAGCGGUGAAAUGCGUAGAUAUUACGAAGAACCCCGAUGGCGAAGGCAGCUUACUAAACUGUGACUGACAUUGAGGCUCGAAAGUGUGGGUAUCAAACAGGAUUAGAUACCCGAGUAGUC
rnacentral:rRNA from 1 species